CGGACGACGCUGGCGGCGUGCUUAACACAUGCAAGUCGAGCGAGAAAGCCCCUUCGGGGGUGAGUACAGCGGCGAACGGGUGAGUAACACGUGGGCAACCUGCCCCGGAGACUGGGAUAACGUCCCGAAAGGGACGCUAAUACCGGAUGAUGCGUGACCUGCCAAGUGGGUCACGUCAAAUGGUAGCCUCGGCCUCUGCUCCGGGAUGGGCCCGCGCCGGAUUAGCUUGUUGGUGAGGUAACGGCUCACCAAGGCGACGAUCCGUAGCUGGUCUGAGAGGACGAUCAGCCACACUGGGACUGAGACACGGCCCAGACUCCUACGGGAGGCAGCAGUGGGGAAUCUUGGGCAAUGGGGGAAACCCUGACCCAGCGACGCCGCGUGAGGGAAGAAGGCCUUAGGGUCGUAAACCUCUGUUGUGUGGGAAGAUAAUGACGGUACUGUACGAAUAAGUCCCGGCUAACUACGUG
rnacentral:rRNA from 1 species